rnacentral:rRNA from 1 species
GACGAUCGCUGGCGGCGUGCUUAACACAUGCAAGUCGAACGGUAAGGCCCUUCGGGGUACACGAGUGGCGAACGGGUGAGUAACACGUGGGUGAUCUGCCCUGCACUUCGGGAUAAGCAUGGGAAACUGGGUCUAAUACCGGCUAGGAACAUGCGCUUCACGGUGGGUGGUGGAAAGCUUGUGCGGUGUGGGAUGGGCCCUCGGCCUAUCGGAUUGUUGGUGGGGUAAUGGCCUACCAAGGCGACGACGGGUAGCCGGCCUGAGAGGGUGACCGGCCACACUGGGACUGAGAUACGGCCCAGACUCCUACGGGAGGCAGCAGUGGGGAAUAUUGCACAAUGGGUGCAAGCCUGAUGCAGCGACGCCGCGUGAGGGAUGACGGCCUUCGGGUUGUAAACCUCUUUCAGUAGGGACGAAGCGCAAGUGACGGUACCUACAGAAGAAGGACCGGCCAACUACGUGCCAGCAGCCGCGGUAA